ensembl:lncRNA
UUGCUGGUUGCUGUACAGACCGCUACCAUGCUGGCUGGCUAGGUUGCUCUAUUUCUAAAAUGAUCCAGGAAGAAGUGUUUACAAUGUAAUGCUAUUUUGGCAGAGCAUGAAGAAGAAAUGGCAUAUGGAAAAAACGAACUUCACAUUCAUCCUUUGAGGACAACUGUGACCAUCUUCAUGUUCUACGUGAGGACAUGGAAACCCAGAGAAUCCCAGGUCUUCCUAGUGUUGAAGCAUCUAGGAGUUUUCAUUGUUGUGUGUCAGCAGCCUUCAACACAGCAACUUCUAACCUGAUGCUACCCUCAAUCAUCUGAUGUCCAUGUCUGUACCCAGAGAGGUUCCACUUGCCUUUGACAACAUUCCUGAGUGUUCCCAGAUCCAUCAUUUCAUAUGAAAAUCCACAUUUUUGAUGUCAUAUAGUUUUCUGCUGUGUAUUAAAUCUUAUUAAAUUUCUCUUUAUGAAUAGCAUGUGCUUCAUAUGCUGUCAUUCUAAUGUCAUUUUUUUCAUAAUGUCUUAAAAUUGAGCAGGCAGUAUAUUGAAUUUUCUACCAUAUGGAAGAAUAUAGUCAGCUGUAUUGCUGAAAUUAGUAUGUCAUUCAGCUAAACACUCAUAAAAUCAAUGGAAUUCUAGAGACACAGAGUCUAUUAAAGGUAAUAAAAAGUAAAUUGAAGAUUUCAGCCAUGAGAGUAAAUGGUUUAAACAAAU